UAAAUCCUGCUUUCUCUUUGCAAACGCUCCAUCCAUCGGUGGGAGGUGUCUGUUUCUAGGGACAACCAGGAAGGUCCUGGGGAGGGAGAAGAAGCAGGUAAACUUCCUAUUUCAUCCGGGCCCCCGCAGCUGUGACCGGAUCAUCUCUCUUUCUUUUGGGGAGGGGGAGUCCUCUCUUCUUAUGUUUCCUCCUAGGUACGGGUGGGAGAGACGGCGAGGCAGGGCAGGAGAAGAUGUCCAGAGGAGCAGAAGCCAAGUUGUUUACAUUCCCACCCCCUCACCCUGGGAAGCCCAAAGUUCCCACACUCACUGAGGCAAGAAGGUCGCCAUGGACACCUCCUCUGUCUCUCUUUGCUGACUGUGUAGAGAUAAGUAGCAGCUGCUGGAAUCGAGUCACCUCGCAGAUCGCCUCUGGGAUCCCUCUGGUCAAACAUCAUCCUCCUUGGCAAGAGAAAACAGAAGCAAAAUAAGUAAAAGUAUUUAUGACUUUCAUCUGCCAUCCAUUAUCAAUUUUAUCAUGAUAUUUUGUUCUAUGGCUUCAAUGGGUGGUGCAGUAUCCACUAUCUGGCAACCUAUGACUUGGAAUAUAGAAGGAUGUUUCAAAGUCUAUGGACAGAAGCGAAAAUUGUGUCUGAAAAAAAGCCUGUAUAAAUGACCCAAAGAGACUCCUCCAAUCAUUACUCAUUGAGACAGAUUUUCCCUGUGUGAUGGUCUAUCUCUAAGAUCGAAGAAUGGUUCAGAAGGAGCUUGAAAAGAUGCAACUAUUAUUAAUUUUGUGACAUAAAUUCAUUGAAUCCAAUUCCUUCAAUCAACACUGUAACAGUACAGUAGCAAAAGCACUGGAUUUGGAGAUAGGAAAUGUGUUCAAUGCCUGACUAUUGCUACUUGGAUAAGUCAUUGGGAAAAUCAUUUAGUCUCUCUGGGCCUUGGUUUUCUCAACUUUUAAAAAAGGAACAUUGGAUUAAAGGUCAUCUUUCAGCUCUAAAUCUAUUAUCCUACUCCUCAUAUUGCAGGGGUUUCCAUUCCCAAAGUCCCAAACCUCUUAGUGGAAUGUAUAUAGGACACAAACGCUUAACUGUAGAGAAGACACAAAAAUGUUCCUUUGAAAGUCUUCCCAAGAGGCUGAGUGUAUGCCCAAGAAGUUGAGAGGCAAAUUGAAAUGAAAAAGGUAAACCAAACAAACAAAAUAAUUGGGAAAUUCUCAGUUACAAUCUGCCAUCUUGUUUCUGGAUCUACCCAGUGUCUUAUCUCACUCUCAAAUAAUUGCUUCUUCUGUAACAGAAUUAGAGAUCUCAUUUCAAGCUUGAAAGGAUUAAACACCAGUAAAAUGAAUAGCUCCCUGGAGCUCAAUUCGGGACAACCAUGGGCCAAAGCAGAAACUUCCCAAACAACCAACCUGUGCCUCUCAGUUCCCCAUCUCUACUGACUGCUUUUUUGUGCAAAUAUCCUGGUAUCCUGUUGCUUAGAUUUUCUCUUAAUGGCAUAGUCCCAGCUGUUCCAGUGUGGUUCAGAUCCACUUGGUUAUCCUCAAGCUCUCCUGGACCUGGUCCAGAUGACUCUGUCCUGGAUACUACCCAUUCCAACAUCUUGAAUCCCUUUGAGUGUAUUGUCAAAUUUACAGACAAUAAUGCAAUCUUCUCCUUCAUCCUAAAUAUCCCCUUUUUGCUCAUUAUGACUUCCAGCUCUAAUAGUUCCUUCCUUCUGCUUUUCAUACUUGGUUAGUGAACAAAUAACUUAAAUGAGCUACAGGUCAUUCAGGAUGACCUUUAAACACUUCUGAACCAAGGGAAAACCACCUGCAAAGAACAAAUUGACAACUGCUCAACUCUAAGAAAGCCCCUAUAAAUGAGAGAGCAACAUGGUACUUCUAACACCUCCAGAAAAGGUGGUCAACCAUUUUAUUGGGCUAUUCCCUCUCAUUAAGGUAAUCAGCUUAAUAGCCUUAAAGAUUCCAUUACUAAUUACAUUCAGUCUUCUAUUCUUUCUUCCUCUGCCACAACACACUUAAAUGCUAUCUCCACUCUUGGUCUAUACCAGAGAUGUCCAACAAGGCUUCCAAGUAUAGCCUGAACCAGAUUAAAACGAAAUUGAGAUUUAACGAGAUGAAUAACAAUAUAAUAAAAUAUAGAUAAAAGCAGGUGGAAAAUGAAGUCAACAUACCAUCCGCAAGGAUCUAUAUGUAUAGUUUAGUGGCCUCAUUUCUAUUUGUGUUUGACACCACUGGUUUAUACUCUGUCCUAUCUCUUUAUAUCAAUAAAGAUGAAUAGAGUUCACAAAACUGAGCUCCUGGAUCAGCUGGAGGCAACAAUAUAUAGAUAGGAUGUUCGGAAAGUGCAGCUAUAACAAUUUCAGAAGUAUUAAUGUUACAAACUUACAAAAAUCACAUGAAAGAUUAAUUAUUUAAAAAUUUUAAAUAUUAAUUAAAAAAAUAAAAAUUCCACAUAACCAUUGUCUUCUGCUAGUAUAUUUGCUCUGGUCAAUUUUUGAACUUUAAAAAAACUUUCAACUGCAGCUAUUCAGAAACUAAAGGGAUUACAUUUGUGGUUCUACCCUUCGGGUCGUCUAAAAAGAAAAUAAAAACAAGGUUUUAAUGCAUGUGUGACUGCCCUAAAAUUUUUGGGACAUACUGAAUAGUAUUUACUAGAUAUGAAAGACUAAUGGCCCUAAAGAUCAUUCCUAUCUAAAUUCCUUUAAAGAUCACAACCCUAAUGAUGUUAAAGAAGAGGGGGAAAAAAGAGUAAGAACUUCAUACCCUUUGACCCAGAUCCUACUACUCAUGCCCCAAGGAUGUUGAGGACAGAAAGAAAGAUCCCAUAUAUCUCCAAAUAGUCACAGCAACACUUUUGUGUCUGUAUAUGUGAUGGCUACUAACUGAAAACAAUGUAGUUUCCUGUUUAUUGGGGAAUGACCAAACAAAUUGCGGUAUAAGAGUGGCAUGGAAUAUUGUUGGGCUGUAAGAAAUGAUAAAUCUGAGAAAUUUGGAGAAACAUGGUAAAACUUACAUAGAAACGAUGCAAAGUAAAAUAAACAGCACCAGAAAAUAACAUGAACAAAUGCUCAAAAAACCCCAAAAAACUGCACAGUGCAAACCAAUAAGGUUUGAUUGAAGGAACUGGAGAAAUUUAGCCUGGAUGCAUCAGUGGCUUCUUGUUACCUCUAAAAUAAAAUAUAAACUCUUCUGUUUGUCAUUUAAAAUUCUUUACACUCUGUGCUGGGUCAGGAGUCAAGAAGACCUUUCAAUUCAAAUUCAUCUUCAGAUACUUAUUAGCUAUGUGACCCUGGACAAGUCACUUAACCUCUGUUUGCCUUAAUCCACUGGAGAAGGAAAUGGCAAAUCACACCAGUAUCUUUGCCAAGAAAAUUCCAUUGACAGUGUGGUCCACAGGGUCACAUAUUAAGGGAUGAUUGAAUGUCUCAACAACAACACAGUCUAUCUACAACCUUCCCUUCCAGGCUUAUUGCACAUUAUUCUAGUUCAUGCCCUCUGUGUUCCACUAAACAGACCUCUUUAUGAUACAUUUAUUCAUAUAUGCCUAUCUAUACACAUAUUGUUUCCUCCCACAUAUAAACUCCUUGAGCGUGGGACUAAUUUUAUUUUUUAAUUUUGCAUUCUCACCUUCUAGUACAAUACCUUGAACCCAGUCUGUAUCAAGUAAGUGCUUGUCAAAUAAAUCUCUCUUUUGCCUACAAUGGCAAAAGCAAUGAUUUCAAGGGGAAACAUUCAAGCCAAUUAUUUGAU